rnacentral:tRNA from 1 species
GGUAGCGUGGCCGAGCGGUCUAAGGCGCUGGUUUAAGGCGCCAGUCAUUUUGAUGGCGUGGGUUCGAAUCCCACCGCUGCCA